GAAUGUGUGGUCAGCCGAGAGAGAAAAAUAGAAGUUAGUGGGUUUGAUUAAGUUUUAGGCAUUUGUGUGUAUUUAUAUAUAUGUAGCAUCAGUUGGAGGAGAGAUGAGGUGCUGCCUGCCGAAAUUGGUGAAAAAAAAAAAAAAAAGGUUGUAAUGAUUUUGGUACGGGUCCCACUGGAGAUGGGUAAUGGGUUUGAAAUUGGUUUGUUACAUUGUGUAUAUAUAUAUAUAUAUAUAUCUGAUGAAGUAAAUGUAGCAGGUGGCAGCAACGUGGACGAAUUUAAUUGGGAAGAGAAAAUUGUGAUAAUGGUGGUUGUGUACUUGCAGGGCCCACUGAAGAUUUUUUUGGGCCAAAUUUUCUUCUUUCUUUAGUUUCCUUCACGUGGGUUGUUCGACUUUUUGGAGAAAGAGAUUAUCCUUUGGUUGGUAUUUUGAUAUUGAAAUGAUGGGCUGCUGUGAGUUGUAAAUCGGUGGAAUUGCUUAUUUAUUUUUGUGUCUGCAUUGUGACCUUAUAAGCAUUUUGAGAGAAAGCAAACAGAUGAAAAAAAAAAAAAAUUAGAGAGAGUUGAGAUGAGAGACAGUGACCCGAGAGUUCACACAGAGAGAGAGAUAGAGAGAAACAGAGAGAGGUCCGAGGUUCCAGAAGAGGCUGGAAACUUGAGGCUUUGAUAAUCCAGUAAGGAAAAUUCUUUUUUAAGGAAAUGGGAAAGAAGUGGCGGAUGACAUUUUAUCACAGACUUAGUAUGGAUUAGGAGCUUAUUUUAUUGUUUUUGUACUGGGGUCUCACUAUUUUUGUAAGACUAAGCAUAAUGUAUAAACACAACGACUUAUGGACUUUUAAUAUUAUAAUUAUACCUAUGGGCUGUAACUUUUAUAUAAGCUGUCUAAAUGUUGUAAAACAUGGAUAUUUGAUCUUACUCUUGUAUUUUGGGACUGUAAUUUUGAUUUUUGGAUGAUAUGGUAUAUAGAUGUUCCACCAUGUGAUGAACUAUGUUGAGGCAUGAUGAAUGGAUGAAAGGAAUGCUGGAAGAACCUUGUGAAGCAAAGUUGGAGAGCUUGUCGAGGCCUUCAAUUUGAUAGGAGCCAAACAUCAUUUGGCCAAGCCUAGAGAUUCCGAAAUUAGGGCUUGGAUUUGGGGAUUUUGGGGGUUUUCACUUCGAUUGAGGACAUGGAAAAGAGGUGGCGGACGACGAUCCACUACAAGUUUAGAUAAGCUUGGGGAUCUAUUUUAUUUUUACUAUCUUUUGUAUUAGAACUCUAAUAUUUUGUAAAUAUAAUAUUAACUAUCUUGUGAAACUUUAGUUUAAUUAGUAUAAUGUUGUAAGGAAUGGACUAUUAAAUUUUAGCUGCAUUUUAUGGACUGUAACUUGAUGUAACUAAAGUGAACUCUUUGUUUGGAUGAGAUGGAGGAAGUGGACAUUUCAUAUGUAUGUGACCAUCUUAGGAAUGUGAUAUAAUAUUUGUAUUGUGCGUUA